GAUGAACGCUGGCGGCAUGCUUUACACAUGCAAGUCGGACGGGAAGUGGUGUUUCCAGUGGCGGUCGGGUGAGUAACGCGUAAGAACCUGCCCUUGGGAGGGGAACAACAGCUGGAAACGGCUGCUAAUACCCCGUAGGCUGAGGAGCGAAAGGAGGAAUCCGCCCCAGGAGGGGCUCGGGUCUGAUUAGCUAGUUGUUGAGGUAAUAUCUUACCACGGCCGUGUUCAUUAGAUGUUCCGAGAGGAUGAUCGGCCACAGUGGGACUGAGCCAAGGCGCAGAGAACUACGGGAGGCAGGAGUGGGGAAUGAAGCGCAAAGGGAGAGAGAGUGACGGAGGAAUGCCGCGUGGAGGUAAAAGGCCUAGGGGACAAGAAAAUCUGUACCUGGAGAAGAAACAAUGACGGUAACUGGGGAAUAAGCAUCGGCUAACUCUGUG
rnacentral:rRNA from 1 species